UUUUUUUUUUUUUUUUUUUUGUUACAUCAGGACCCAACUGGAAAAUAUAAAGAUGAAUUGCUGUAGGCUGGAAAAUCAAUUAAGAAAAAGAGUGUUUUCCAAGAAUGUGGUGCAGACAUGAGCUAUUUUUGAAAACAAAAACAAAAACAACAAACUGUGCUCCUGGGAAACACACCAUCAGUUCACUAAAGCAAUGAACACACCAAGGCACCUUGGGCCUCCGUUUCUUGGAUAUUUACCACAUUCCUUGGUUCACCUACAAGGCUGGAGAAAGAACCUGGGUGCCCAGACGGUGUCCCCAACUCUCAACAGUCCACAUAAAAGUCACCCACCGAAGACGCAAUUGUGAGGGCCUGGAUGGCGAGCCUUUGGCUUUAAUGAAUGUUAUCUCUCCUUACAAACUAAUGGCCAGUCAGAGUUUGCUUUUCUCUUCAGUCCUGAAAAG